rnacentral:rRNA from 1 species
AUUGAACGCUGGCGGCAGGCCUAACACAUGCAAGUCGAGCGGAUGAGUGGAGCUUGCUCCAUGAUUCAGCGGCGGACGGGUGAGUAAUGCCUAGGAAUCUGCCUGGUAGUGGGGGACAACGUUUCGAAAGGAACGCUAAUACCGCAUACGUCCUACGGGAGAAAGUGGGGGAUCUUCGGACCUCACGCUAUCAGAUGAGCCUAGGUCGGAUUAGCUAGUUGGUGAGGUAAAGGCUCACCAAGGCGACGAUCCGUAACUGGUCUGAGAGGAUGAUCAGUCACACUGGAACUGAGACACGGUCCAGACUCCUACGGGAGGCAGCAGUGGGGAAUAUUGGACAAUGGGCGAAAGCCUGAUCCAGCCAUGCCGCGUGUGUGAAGAGGGUCUUCGGAUUGUAAAGCACUUUAAGUUGGGAGGAAGGGCAGUAAGUUAAUACCUUGCUGUUUUGACGUUACCAACAGAAUAAGCACCGGCUAACUUCGUGCCAGCCGCCGCCGUAAUAC